CCUACGGGUGGCUGCAGUAGGGAAUAUUGGUCAAUGGGCGGAAGCCUGAACCAGCCAUGCCGCGUGCAGGAAGAAGGCCCUCUGGGUUGUAAACUGCUUUUGACGGGGAACAAAUAGCCGCUGCGGCGGAAGUUGAGUGUACCCGUAGAAUAAGCCACGGCUAACUACGUGCCAGCAGCCGCGGUAAUACGUAGGUGGCAAGCGUUGUCCGGAUUUAUUGGGUUUAAAGGGUGCGUAGGCGGCCCCCUAAGUCAGUUGUGAAAUAUCCCGGCUCA
rnacentral:rRNA from 1 species